ACUCCUACGGGAGGCUGCAGUGGGGAAUAUUGCACAAUGGGCGCAAGCCUGAUGCAGCAACGCCGCGUGAGGGACGACGGCCUUCGGGUUGUAAACCUCUUUUAGUAGGGAAGAAGCGAAAGUGACGGUACCUGCAGAAAAAGCACCGGCUAACUACGUGCCAGCAGCCGCGGUAAUACGUAGGGUGCAAGCGUUAUCCGGAAUUAUUGGGCGUAAAGAGCUCGUAGGCGGUUUGUCGCGUCUGCUGUGAAAACUGGAGGCUCAACCUCCAGCCUGCAGUGGGUACGGGCAGACUAGAGUGCGGUAGGGGAGAUUGGAAUUCCUGGUGUAGCGGUGGAAUGCGCAGAUAUCAGGAGGAACACCGAUGGCGAAGGCAGAUCUCUGGGCCGUAACUGACGCUGAGGAGCGAAAGCAUGGGGAGCGAACAGGAUUAGAUACCCUGGUAGUCCAUGCCGUAAACGUUGGGAACUAGAUGUAGGGUCCAUUCCACGGAUUCUGUGUCGCAGCUAACGCAUUAAGUUCCCCGCCUGGGGAGUACGGCCGCAAGGCUAAAACUCAAAGGAAUUGACGGGGGCCCGCACAAGCGGCGGAGCAUGCGGAUUAAUUCGAUGCAACGCGAAGAACCUUACCAAGGCUUGACAUAUACCGGAAAAGUGCAGAAAUGUACUCCCCGCAAGGUCGGUAUACAGGUGGUGCAUGGUUGUCGUCAGCUCGUGUCGUGAGAUGUUGGGUUAAGUCCCGCAACGAGCGCAACCCUCGUUCUAUGUUGCCAGCACGUAAUGGUGGGAACUCAUAGGAGACUGCCGGGGUCAACUCGGA
rnacentral:rRNA from 1 species